rfam:Ipomoea nil DNA, scaffold: scaffold0878, cultivar: Tokyo-kokei standard.
GGGUCUUUAGCUCAGUGUUAGAGCAUUUGACUGCAGAUCAAGAGGUCACCGGUUCAAACCCGGUAGGGCCCU